GAUGAACGCUGGCGGCGUGCCUAAUACAUGCAAGUCGAGCGAACGGACGAGAAGCUUGCUUUUCUGAUGUUAGCGGCGGACGGGUGAGUAACACGUGGAUAACCUACCCAUAAGACUGGGAUAACUUCGGGAAACCGGAGCUAAUACCGGAUAAUAUUUUGAACCGCAUGGUUCAAAAGUGAAAGACGGUCUUGCUGUCACUUAUAGAUGGAUCCGCGCUGCAUUAGCUAGUUGGUAAGGUAACGGCUUACCAAGGCAACGAUGCAUAGCCGACCUGAGAGGGUGAUCGGCCACACUGGAACUGAGACACGGUCCAGACUCCUACGGGAGGCAGCAGUAGGGAAUCUUCCGCAAUGGGCGAAAGCCUGACGGAGCAACGCCGCGUGAGUGAUGAAGGUCUUCGGAUCGUAAAACUCUGUUAUUAGGGAAGAACAUAUGUGUAAGUAACUGUGCACACCUUGACGGUACCUAAUCAGAAAGCCACGGCUAACUACGUG
rnacentral:rRNA from 1 species